GGGCCUAUAGCUCAGUCGGUUAGAGCAGAGGACUCAUAAUCCUUUGGUCGCAGGUUCGAGCCCUGCUGGGCCUA
rnacentral:tRNA from 1 species